rnacentral:rRNA from 1 species
AACGAACGCUGGCGGCAGGCCUCAAACAUGCAAGUCUAGGGGGUGUAGCAAUACAUCACCGGCGGACGGGUGCGUAACACGUGGGAAUAUACCUUUUGGUUCGGAACAACGCAGGGAAACUUGCGCUAAUACCGAAUGUGCCCUUACGGGGAAAGAUUUAUCGCCAAAGGAUUAGCCCGCGUAGGAUUAGCUAGUUGGUGAGGUAAUGGCUCACCAAGGCUCCGAUCCUUAGCUGUUCUGAGAGGAAGAUCAGCCACACUGGGACUGAGACACGGCCCAGACUCCUACGGGAGGCAGCAGUUGGGAAUCUUGGACAAUGGGGGAAACCCUGAUCCAGCCAUGCCGCGUGAGUGAUGAAGGCCUUCGGGUUGUAAAACUACUUUCGACGGGGACGGAUAAUGACGGUACCCGUAGAAGAAGCUCCGGCUAACUUCGUGCCAGCAGCCGCGGUAAU